CAACUCGCCUGCAUGAAGUCGGAAUCGCUAGUAAUCGCGGAUCAGCACGCCGCGGUGAAUACGUUCCCGGGCCUUGUACACACCGCCCGUCACACCACGGAAGUUGGGAGUACCCAAAGUAGGUUGCCUAACCGCAAGGAGGGCGCUUCCUAAGGUAAGACCGAUGACUGGGGUGAAGUCGUAACAAGGUAGC
rnacentral:rRNA from 1 species